GACAAGAGGAGGAGGAGGAGGAGGGAGGGAAGAGGGAUGCUGCAUUUUAGUGAUAGCACAGACUGAGGCUGCAGCAGCAGACAGAGAGCGAUGAGAGAGGUAGAAAUUAAAAGAGGGGAUUGUCAGAGAGAGCACGACAGGAUUCCCACAGAUUAUCACGAGCGUGUUCUUGAAGAACCAGCAGCAGGGGUUUCAAGAGAGGAGGAGAAAAAAGGAGCAAACUUGUGACCUCAACAAGAGAAAAGACACUUCUCCAGUAAGAAGAGGAGAAAAUAAUCCACCUGUGAUCAAACUAAGACUAUUAGCAACAGCAAGAUCUCAAAGAGAAACAUCAGAAAGUGUAACUCUGUCUUCCCUUUUUUUUGUCUCUGCUUGACUGUCUAUCCACAGGCUCUCCUUCUGUCUGUCUCAGCAGGAUGCAAAGGCAUCAUUUUAGUGCCUGGGAUGGAAAGAAAUGCUGAACGAAUCCUGAAGGGUUGUUAGAGAGAGAGACGAAGCAAAAAAAAAAAAAAAGGAGGAACAGAGGAACAUUUGCAAGCUUCUGGAAGGAAAAGGGAGGAGAAAGCAGUAUGACUCAGAGCACAGCAGCUAGAAUACUGUGUAUUCUGCAUGCAAGAGGAGAGGCAGAGGGAGACAGAGGAACACUGAGGAAGAUAUAAGGAGAAAAAUAAAGAGGACUUGACCAGAACUGAGUCGUCAUUAGACAGAAGAAGGACAGGAUGAAGACAAGCAACCACACUGGCAGGCAGUGAGUGAGAUAUAGGCCAAGUGAAUCAGCUUGCUAGGGGGAGAGGAAGGCAAGAAGAGUUUAGAAAGUGGAGGGUUUAGUAUGACUGAAGCCAGUCGAGGGAAGGUUGAAUGAAGGUUUGCUGCAGGGCGGAGAGUGGGAGAAGAACUGCAAAGGACAGAAGGACAGCGUUAAUGAAAAAUAGUUUGAACUCCUACAGGGGAGAAAGUCCUGAGUGACUGCCUCUUGCCACAGGGAGAGAACAUGACUGAGCUUUGCAUGGGGGAGAAGAAGCUUCAAGAAGGUUGAACACGGGAAAGGAAGAAAAUGUUAGAGAGUAUAAAGGUUGAAAAGAGACCUAGAAGUGGAGAAUGAAGGAAAGGAGCAAAUUAGGCCAGAUCAGAGCAAAGAUUUAACAUUCAAGCAAAAAGGCAAGGUCUAAGAAGAACAGAAAGAGAAACACUGCACGCUUAGAACAUGGCAUCCAACGCGCAACGAUGGGUAACAUGAAAACUUUAACUGUGACAAUAACACGGCAAGAGGUUCCUGUUAAAUAUUGAUGCUGACAGGCCACUCUGGAAAGAACUUGCUCCUUGUACCACAGAGGGAGAAACAGAAGAAACGUAGCUGCUUUUUUAUUCUGAGGGAUUUUUACACCGGAAUAGACAAGCUGUUAAAUGUGUCAGAUGAUGGCUGAGAGUGGUGAAGUAGAGAUGUUGGUGCAAAUUAAGACCAGACCUACAAAUUAGCCGACGCUGGGCUUCCUGGAGGUUUUUUUGGACAGCUGUGCAACUUCUUGGGGAGAGUGGAAUUACUAUAGACAGAAGCACUGGACCCUUUAUGUUGUGUGCGAACAGGGAUCGGUGUUUGAGAGAGAUGACUGAGACCUCGUGAGGAAAAUUGUUCUAUUCGACAAGAACAAUCCAGAUGUAUGUUUCGGACUGACAGCCACUCUGCAGCACUGCCACAUGAGAAAAGCCGCUGCUGAAGCAUAUAUGUUGUUUUUGUCCUGGACUGACUGGAGCUGUUUCACAGAAAAUGGCUUCAUUACAGAGAUUUGGCCAGUGGAGGACUGCUUGAGGAGAUAUGUGUGGAGAUUCUUUGAUGAAGAACUGGAGGCAGGAUGCUUACUUUGUUUUUGCUCCCGGGACUCAAUAAAGUCAUGAUGGGUCUUUUGGUGAAGGCAUCACGUUAGGAGCUGCCUUCUAUCCGACUUGAAUCACCGAUUGCUCAAAGAUCAAAACAAUAACGUAGGAAGACACAAUGGCACGGUCUCCAUCCAGCUGCCGAUAGACCAGCUGUGUGUUUAUGUGGGGCAGCGUGGGGGUGCAAGGACUGUCGAGGAGCUCAGCUGUGUUUGCGCGGAUGCUUGUGUGGGUGUGGAUGUAGAGGUGUGUGUGUGUGUGUGUGUGCACUGAGCUUUGAACCCAGCUGUAUCGGAGUGUAUUUUCAAAGAGUCACCCAGAGCUGUGUGUGUGUGUCUGUGUGUGUCUGUGUGUGUGUGUGUCGCCUGGAUUCUCCCCACCAGCGACAGAGCUGGACCUGAGCAGCAGCGCUGAGAGGGGGGACAGGGAGGGGGAGGAAGAGGAGGAGGAGAGGAGGAAGACGGAGGCGAAAGGAACCAGCAGGACGGAGGAGAAGAAAAAACUGACAACAUGCUUGGAUAAAGAGAAGAAAGAAAAGCGUCUUUGGCUGCCCCUCUGGUGCAAUGUGUGGCAUCGCGCCCUGUGGGAGUGGGGUUCUGUGAUGGUAACCAUGGUCCCCGGCAGCCGCUAUGUUUGCAGCGCUCACGCAAGAGAGGAAGACUCCACGAAUGACCGCGAGGAGCGAAUUUUAGCCGUGCUGGGCAUCAUUGGGACCAUCCUCAAUCUUCUGGUGGUCAUAUUCGUCUACAUCUACACCUCAGUCACAUAAGGAUUUCUGCAAGACUCAGAACAAGACACGGUGGCUCCGAAGCCAACUUUUGCUCACACUGCCACUGCCCUCUUUAAGUAUUUAUGAACUUAGAGGGUUCGAUUUUUUUAAAAAGUAAGCACUAAGAUGUGAGGAUCAUUGGCAGUGUGCUCAGCUGGAUUGUAGCCAUAUUUAUCUACACCUGUGUCACUGCUUAUCCCUCAAGACAGCUCUGCUCACUCGGGGCUUGUUGGGGGAAUCAUCCGGACUUCCCUGUUAUGAUUAAACUGUAUCAUUUUUCAACACAGAUUCACAUAUGCAUAUUCCAAAUGACUGCUGACACUGUGUCCAGUCUGGUAACAGUCAUGCAUCUGAUUUCAUAUUGAUCCAUAACUGUGGAAUAACAUUUUCUGUGGCUUCUUCAACUGCUCAAAUGGAGCUGCUGAUCUGAUGGUGACUGUGCUGCAUCUUCCACUAAUGUGUGGUUUCUGUUUUUUUGUGAGAUUUUAGAUAUCACUGCCAGUUAAAUAUAUACAUUAAAGGUUGGACAAGCAGAAAAACUUUGCGUUAAUUUGACCAAAUUAGUACAUUACGAAGAGGGGUACACUAUUAAAACUGCUAAUAUGGACCAAAAUUGCCAAAUGAGAUAUCACAAUUAUCAAAACUGGGACCCUAAAUACUUGUAUAGAACAUUGGUAUAGACGUACAGAUAAUCACGUCCUUACUGCUAAAUCUUAGUUUCUGUGGUUAGUAGAAUCCUUGAAAGGGUUUUACAUGGACCUAACGUGUCCAUACUUGAGCACACCAGAGGAGAGAUUCCUGGCAGUGCUAGGAGUCAUCGGUAUAGUCCUUAACCUCCUGCUGCUUGUUUUUGUCUAUGUAUACACCUCCUUUUGAUUUGGGGACUCCAGAAAAAAGCUGCUUAAUGCCAAUGUUCUUCUCCAUGUGGGAAGUUGCUACACCUAACAGCAGCCUGGUGUAUCAGUGAUCGUAUCGUGCAGAGACUAUACAUUUUUUAGCCACACUUGUAUAUAUCUAUCCCAGGCACACCAUGGUUCAUAGCGUAUGUGAACAUUAUAUGUUACUCUGGGUAGGUUUCCGGCCCUUGAUGAUACAGUGACACUCAAACAAUAUGGUGAAAAGAAAGCGAUGAAUGAAUUCAAAGGUGGAAGCAGCAGACUGGUUCAUUUUAUAAAUACACUUCAAAUUCACCAUUUCCAUGGAUAUUUGUGGCCUACAGUUGGUGGUUUUCUAAUACAAUUAGAGUCAUAUAAUACAGUACUCUCCCAUAUGUGUGCAUCAUGAGAUGUUAAUUGAAGCUUAUAUUACUACAAUGAAAUGUUCUCUAUCACGCUUUGACCAAAAUAACUGUUGUAAAGACUGCCAUCUUUGUAGUGAUUCUGUUCUACAUGCUUAUUUCUACUGAAAACAUCAAGACAUGGAAUUGGAUAUUUCAGUCUGUGCAGAAGCUCUGCACAUCAGCAAAGAUCCCUUUGUGUAUAGUUGGUCCCACAGAAUAAUAGUGUGUUUUCUGCUGCCGUGUUUCAGUGAUUAUAUGUGGAAACCAGGCACAGAGCAGCGUCAGAGUGGGCAAAGCGUGAAAUUGAGACAAUGUCACAGAAAUCAAGACAGAGCUCUUUUGCAAUGUAACACAAAGGCCUACAGCAGUGGCAAAGAAAUCAGGGAGAACCAGUGUGGAUUGUCUGAAACAAAUGGACAUAAAACCUUUCUACAAAGCCUCAAUGUCUGUUUUGAAACUCAUGAAAGCACAAAAAACUCCCCGGGAUUUGGUUACAACAUGUUCACCGGAGCUGCAUGUAAUUAUGGAUAUGACUUCAGGUUGAAGCACUCUGUCUCUAAUGGAGAAGCAAACCUGAGUGCAGCUGAAACUGGCCUGAAUCUACACUUGAUCCUCGUCAUUCUCUUCUCCACCAACAAGCUAAAGCCAGAGAAGACAUAGUGACACACGGGUCUCUGCUGUCAUCUCACGUAUAGCACAGGAACAGUUUAUAUUCCAAAAUUAAUGACCAGCGAGGUUGAAACUUAACCUUCUGCAAUUUUACAUGUUGGCUUGUGUGGAAAAAAUGUUUGACAUUUUGAUAAUUAUUGCAUAUGAUUCCUUGUUACAGUGUGUUUGUAUGCUCUUAGUUUUAGCACCAGUUUAUCACAGAGUGUUUGGUUUGCAAGAAAAUCCAAAAGCCACAAUCACUACAUUGGAAAAUGCUUGGGAUGAAAUAUGUAUGGAUGAGCACAGUCUAUUUUUAUAAACCGUAGAAGGUUCAGAUAAAUAUACUCAUAGUUUUGAAAUUGUGGAUUAAUGACUGAUUGAUAUUUGCCACUAAAAUAAUGAGAUUUUACACACAAAAAACUAAAAACUAUGAGUUGCAUUGUUGGGUUCAAAAAGCAAAAUUGCAUCUAAAAAUCAGACAUUUCUGUCACCUGUAAUGCACAAGUAACUUGCAUAAAAUUCUCAAUCACAUAGACACACUUAUGCAUGUUUGUUUUUCUGAUCUUGAGGACCCUCGCUGACAAACUGAUCAUAACCACCACAUGCCUAAUUCGAUCUUUAUGUCACCUUAAUCUGGCUAAACUGGAGCCUUGUUUACAACCUGUUUAAUUAUCUCACAGGUUUUGUUUCUUACCCUGCUCAGUAUAAUAAUGGAAUCGAUGACCCAGCUGUGAUGAUAGAACUUAAAUUGUAACAAACCAUAUUUCUUUUUUAUGAUCAAAUCUUCAGGCCCACAAAGAACUGGGAACAAACCAAAAAGUCCUCACUUUCCGAAAAGAAAAAGUCUCCGCUUAGAACUAAAACUCAAACUGGUCCUCACAAAGCUAGAAAUGUAAACGCUCACACACUCGCCGCUUGCAUCUCCCUUCAUGAGUUUAAUUUUACACCAUCUUUCAGCACACAUCGGGAGGUUCGGCCGUUAGCAUACUGAGAUCGAUGUGACUUGCACAUUUACUUCCUGUCACAUCUAAUCACUUUACAGUGGAGUUUGUUGAGUUGAAUCCAUGUUAAGUGUGCACCAAAGCACAGUAUGAGCCACCUUUGGUUUGCCAGACAUCUGCUGUCAGACUGUGACAGUCGAAGCUGCGGCUCUGCAGAAAUACACAUGAACAGACUUUGAACUACCUACAAAUGUACUGGAGAUAUUUUUUGAUCUGAGGUGCCUCUGGAAGGUCAUUGGAUGUGUGUAAACAAACAGAAUGAACACAUACGCUGCUACCUAUUUGGACAAAGGUAUUACAGUACUGCUUUCUGAUCAAGGACUUAAAAUUAAUAAAUGUUUCACUAAUACGUGCAAAAUCGGUUAGAAGCCAUACACAAGAAAAAACCUUUUGGUCUCCUGGUAUCUUUAUUGUCGCUUUGUAUCAAGCCAUAUUUUAUAAUAGCUAAAACUGCUAUGCUACCAUUUACUGAUGCUACAUGGUUAGAGUAUUAACCCAUUAGCAUUUAUGAAGUAACUACCAAUUUUAUAACUGUAUUAUUACCACAGAAAAACAAUAAGGGUUUUAAAGAAAGUGGCAGUCAUUAAAAGGAUCAAAGUGUUUCUGAUAAAGUUGUCUAACUACUCUGUUAAAUGAUUCAUUAACCAUUAUUACAGUCAUUGGUUACGACUUAUAAACCCCCUUUGAAGAAUCCCUGAAUUGAAUGUUUCAGGCUCCUCAUGUUAGUGAGGGUUUUCAAUUAUGGUAAAAACUAGCAAUUCAGACUGGAACAAAUAAAAGACAUUUAUUUUAAGCUAAUAUUUAAUCUUUUGAACCUUUCACGCCCAAAAGAAUAAAGUCCCAGAAUACAUUUAUGCCAGUUCCAAAAGUCAUUAAGACCAUAAUGGGAUCCACUGGACCCAGCUAACUCUGCUGAUGAUUAGAUGGUCUAUUAAGACUAGAUGAAAGGUAUAAUUAGAAAAUAGAAUUGUCAACGAUUUCUAAACAGCACUAGCUGAUAUUAGAAAAAGGUCAAGGUUUUGGCCUCAAUGGCUUUUGAUAAGUCAACGGAACAAUGUGGUUGCAGUACCUGAGCUUUGUCUUAUACGUUUUUGGUUUUCGGUUGAGACCUGUUUUAACACACUUAUUGCUAAGUGGACCAAUGAGAGGAGAGAACCUUGAGGGUGAAUCCCAGCCAUCUGCUGUCCCAACAGACCUCCUCAGUGCGCACACACACACACACACACACACACACAUACACACACACACACACACACGCACACAGGAAGCAUAAGCAUCUAUUUUUUAACCAAGCAGCAUCUCAAUGCAUCUCAAUAUUGCUUUUUUCUUUUCUAGAGAAGGGAAUAGUUUUCACUGCAAGAGGAAAAACAAAUGGGAGUCCUGACCAAUGCCGCAGGAGCUGAUUGUUAACACGAAACACUGACAGGCAAAUGAGUCUGGAUUCAACACUGCUCAUUCUGUGUCCGAGCCAGUCUGUUAAGCCAAAGCAAAGACUGAUUCUCGUGUUUUUUUAUGACGUACGAGCUGAAUUGAUUUUUCGAGCACACUGGACACAAGCUGCCUGAGACUAGACAAGAGAAAACAAUGUGGAGGGAUUAUUUUAAUGUUAUUUCAGAGCAACAAAGCUGAAUAAUAGCUGAGCUACCUUAGAAUCUGGCAACAAAAUAAGUGCCUUGGGCAUAACAGAUUCCAGCUUUACAGUAUUUUCUACAGCACAAUUCCACCCAGAGGAAAAAAAGACUGAGAAAGGUCCUGGCAUGCAUGAAAAAUGUGUGUUUGUUCCACUUAGCACUUUUCAUUUAACUGUAAAUUAUUUUCUAAGCAGGCAGCACCGGUGAUUCACAAAACAGGUGUCUGAAAAACUGAGAAAUAAUCUAUUAGCCAAAGUAUUGUGUGAAACGCUGACAGCAGUUGCUGCUGCUGUGCAAACAAAUUCUAGUUUUAAGAAGCGAGCUGCUGAGAGGAACUACCUGCUGUUUUUGGUUGCUUCUAUUGUAAUCUGUACUGUCAAAUGAGAGUAACUGUGUCUGCCAGAAAUCACAGCACUGAGUCUGAUGAAGCUGAUAAAGAAAAGGUUUGAUACGAUUCUUGAGAAUUACUAUUGAAAAUAUGUUUUGAGAUCUGGUGUA